UGCAAAUGGUGUUUUUCUCACGAUGGUCUUCCUAGCCUAUGAGGUUCUGACGACACUGCCUAAUGGCAACACUGAUGCAGUUAU
ensembl:snoRNA